rnacentral:rRNA from 1 species
AACGAACGCUGGCGGCAGGCCUAACACAUGCAAGUCGAGCGCCCUUUCGGGGGAGCGGCGGACGGGUGAGUAACGCGUGGGAAUAUGCCCUUCUCUACGGAAUAGCCUCGGGAAACUGAGGGUAAUACCGUAUACGCCCUGUGGGGGAAAGAUUUAUCGGGGAAGGAUUAGCCCGCGUUGGAUUAGGUAGUUGGUGGGGUAAUGGCCUACCAAGCCGACGAUCCAUAGCUGGUUUGAGAGGAUGAUCAGCCACACUGGGACUGAGACACGGCCCAGACUCCUACGGGAGGCAGCAGUGGGGAAUCUUAGACAAUGGGGGCAACCCUGAUCGAGCCAUGCCGCGUGAGUGAUGAAGGCCUUAGGGUUGUAAAGCUCUUUCAGCUGGGAAGAUAAUGACGGUACCAGCAGAAGAAGCCCCGGCUAACUCCGUG